rnacentral:rRNA from 1 species
AACGAACGCUGGCGGCAGGCUUAACACAUGCAAGUCGAACGCCCCGCAAGGGGAGUGGCGCACGGGUGAGUAACGCGUGGAUAUCUGCCUUUUGGUUCGGAAUAACCCCGGGAAACUGGGGCUAAUACCGGAUGGUUCCUACGGGAUAAAGAUUUAUCGCCAAAAGAUGAGUCCGCGUACGAUUAGCUAGUUGGUGAGGUAAUGGCUCACCAAGGCGACGAUCGUUAGCUGGUCUGAGAGGACGAUCAGCCACACUGGGACUGAGACACGGCCCAGACUCCUACGGGAGGCAGCAGUGGGGAAUAUUGGACAAUGGGGGCAACCCUGAUCCAGCCAUGCCGCGUGAGUGAUGAAGGCCUUCGGGUUGUAAAGCUCUUUUGGCGGGGACGAUGAUGACGGUACCCGCAGAAUAAGCCCCGGCUAACUUCGUGCCAGCAGCCGCCGUAACAC